GUCAGUUCUCCAUCGGCAUGCCCUGAGAUAACCCAGAAGGGAAGUCGUAUCUGCUGCCUGCCAAGCACCUCCACGGAGCCUGGAGGAGCCUUCACGGUUCUGCAAGCAGGAAUUCCGCUGAAAUUACCAUCUGCAGAGUCAGACAAGCCUUUCAGCAGCACAGAGGCUCUCUGUGUGGGCAGAGUCUCCCACAUGUGGCUGGUUGGCACGGCCAGCCAGCUGUGGGUCACCUGUGGGCACCAGGCAGGCAAAGCCACAUACUGAAAUCCACCGACGAGGCCCAUGCUGCUACCCAGGUGGAGAGUGUGGUGAAGUCUUAGGAGGGCUCUGCCUGUCCAAGAGAGUUUUCCUAGCAAAGAAACUGCAGCAUGGCUUUUAUGCUGAAAGUUCUGGAGCUGAGAGGACACCUGAAGCAUUCCUACAUCGGUGACAUAAAGAGAAGAAAAGUCACCAUAGGAGCAAGCUGAAAUUCUACAAUUUGACAACUCUUGGGAGAAGCAAAAGGAUGAGGAGGAAGAGAGGAAGUGCAAGGUGAAGGCAGGAGUGGAGUCACCUCGAAGCUAAUGAAGCUCAAAGCCUGCCCAGUGGUCUAGUGGUUAAGAUUCAGCACUCUUGCUGCUGCGGCCUGGGUUUGUUUCCCAGUUAGGGAACCACAUCACUCGUCUGCCGGUUGUCAUACAGUGGCAGCUGCCUGUUGCUGUGAUGCUGAAAGCUGUGCCACCAGUAUUUCAAAUACCAGCGGGGUCUCCCAUGGUGCACAGGUUUCAGUGGAGCUUCUAGACUAGACAGGCUAAGAAGAAGGACCCGGCCACACACUUGCCACCCCGUUUCAAAAGAACUGGCCAUGAAGACCCUGUGAAUAGCAGCAGAGCGUUGUCUGAUACAGCACCGGAAGGUGAGAGGAUGGUGCAAAAAGACCAGGCAGGAUCCCACUCAGGUCGCUAGCAGUUGGAAUCUACUUGAUGGCACUAACAACAAAGCUCAAACGUCAGAGCUCCUCACUUGUACAGGUCUCCUUGGGAUGCCAUGGACCAAAUUUUGUAUUCAUUAUUUGUAUGAUUUUUUCAUAAAGAGGAUGCCCCUCCCCAAAUUGUAAAUGCUUUAGACUUCACAAAAACCAGGUAGGGAAAAAAGUAAACAAAUAGACAAUGUGUGUCCUUUUGCUUGUUACUAGCCGUGGGUUAGACGAGGUUGGGAUGGUGUUUAAAUGGAAGGAGAAGUUAAUGUUUUGAAAUAGAAUGGGCUGGACUUAUUCAUACCUGAACUUAAGACUCUUCUAAUACCUGAAAGUGACUGGAAAUUCAUGGGAUACACUUGAGUUGCCAUGAAGAG
rnacentral:lncRNA from 1 species